rnacentral:rRNA from 1 species
UGGGGAAUUUUGCGCAAUGGGGGAAACCCUGACGCAGCAACGCCGCGUGCGGGACGAAGGCCCUCGGGUUGUAAACCGCUUUCAGCAGGGAAGACUUUACGACGGUACCUGCAGAAGAAGCUCCGGCUAACUACGUGCC